rnacentral:rRNA from 1 species
UGGGGAAUUUUGCACAAUGGGGGAAACCCUGAUGCAGCGACGCCGCGUGAACGAAGAAGGUAUUCGUAUCGUAAAGUUCUGUCCUAUGGGAAGAUAAUGACAGUACCAUAGAAGAAAGCUCCGGCUAAAUACGUGCCAGCAGCCGCGGUAAUACGUAUGGAGCGAGCGUUGUCCGGAAUUAUUGGGCGUAAAGGGUAUGCAGGCGGUUUAAUAAGUCGAAUGUUAAAGAUCGGGGCUCAACCCCGCAAAGCAUUGGAAACUGAUAAACUUGAGUAGUGGAGAGGAAAGUGGAAUUCCUAGUGUAGUGGUGAAAUACGUAGAUAUUAGGAGGAAUACCAGUAGCGAAGGCGACUUUCUGGACACAAACUGACGCUGAGGUACGAAAGCGUGGGGAGCAAACAGG